CUACGGGUUGCACCAGUGGGGAAUAUUGCACAAUGGGGGAAACCCUGAUGCAGCAACGCCGCGUGGAGGAUGACACAUUUCGGUGCGUAAACUCCUUUUAUAUAGGAAGAUAAUGACGGUACUAUAUGAAUAAGCACCGGCUAACUCCGUGCCAGCAGCCGCGGUAAUACGGAGGGUGCAAGCGUUACUCGGAAUUACUGGGCGUAAAGAGCGUGUAGGCGGGUUUGUAAGUUGGAUGUGAAAUCCUAUGGCUCAACCAUAGAACUGCAUCCAAAACUACUUACCUAGAGUGUGGGAGAGGUAGAUGGAAUUUCUGGUGUAGGGGUAAAAUCCGUAGAGAUCAGAAGGAAUACCGAUUGCGAAGGCGAUCUACUGGAACAUAACUGACGCUGAGACGCGAAAGCGUGGGGAGCAAACAGGAUUAGAUACCCCCGUAGUC
rnacentral:rRNA from 1 species